rnacentral:rRNA from 1 species
GACGAACGCUGGCGGCGUGCUUAACACAUGCAAGUCGAACGGUGAAGCCCUUCGGGGUGGAUCAGUGGCGAACGGGUGAGUAACACGUGGGAAAUCUGCCCUGCACUCUGGGACAAGCCUUGGAAACGAGGUCUAAUACCAGAUAUGACCUUCUCCUGCAUGGGGGUUGGUGGAAAACUCCGGCGGUGCAGGAUGCUCCCGCGGCCUAUCAGCUUGUUGGUGGGGUAAUGGCCUACCAAGGCGACGACGGGUAGCCGGCCUGAGAGGGCGACCGGCCACACUGGGACUGAGACACGGCCCAGACUCCUACGGGAGGCAGCAGUGGGGAAUAUUGCACAAUGGGCGAAAGCCUGAUGCAGCGACGCCGCGUGAGGGAUGACGGCCUUCGGGUUGUAAACCUCUUUCAGCAGGGAAGAAGCGCAAGUGACGGUACCUGCAGAAGAAGCACCGGCUAACUACGUGCCAGCCGCCGCGGUAAUAC